CACGCAAAGCCUACAGGAACCUCAGCAUAGCCAUACAGUUUAAGUUCACCCACACUUUAUAUAAAUAAAAAAGGUUUACAGUGCAAAUACUGCUGUUGCAUAUACUGUGCAUAAAUAAAAAGGGUUUACAGUGCAAAUACUG